rnacentral:misc_RNA from 1 species
GAUUAAGUGAAGGGUCAACUUUUUCUUCCAUUUCUGAUUGCGCUGUCUCCUCUCGCUUUCGCUUCUCCCCCCGGUUAUCGCCACCGUUGGAGCCCGUUGAUUCAGGAUUGGAGAGUUGAGGCUGUUCAUGUUCAUGGUUUUGAAUAGGUGAAUCGUUGGGGCUCAUUGCUUGAGAGAUUACAGUGAAGGGGUUUAGGAUUUCAGUUGCAGAGAGUUCCUUUUCUGAAUACGAGGGCCUCCACCACAUGAACAUUUAUU